rnacentral:rRNA from 1 species
AAAUUGAAGAGUUUGAUCAUGGCUCAGAUUGAACGCUGGCGGCAGGCCUAACACAUGCAAGUCGAGCGGAAACGACACUAACAAUCCUUCGGGUGCGUUAAUGGGCGUCGAGCGGCGGACGGGUGAGUAAUGCCUAGGAAAUUGCCUUGAUGUGGGGGAUAACCAUUGGAAACGAUGGCUAAUACCGCAUAAUGCCUACGGGCCAAAGAGGGGGAUCUUCGG